CCGAGGUUUCCCGGGGGGCUCUCCCCCCCUCCCGGAAACGGGAGGGGGAGGCUCCCCCGAUCUCUCUUUUUCCACCGUGCUGAAUUGACCCCUGUUGCUUCAGCGGGCAUCCUGGCGGUGGAGAUCUCCCUGUAACCUUCUGAUGGGCUUUUUAAGUGAAGAAUUUGUCUGAGUGGGCGUGAAAUUUUCGUUAUA
rnacentral:misc_RNA from 1 species